GUUAGACAGGUGAAUCACACCCUGGGAUGUUUGAUCCAGUCCCUUGCUCUGUG
rnacentral:sRNA from 17 species